rnacentral:rRNA from 1 species
GUAAGGGAUAUUGCGACAAUGGGCGAAAGCCUGACGCAGCAACGCCGCGUGUGGGAUGACGGCCUUCGGGUUGUAAACCACUUUUCUGGGGGAAGAGGAAGGACGGUACCCCAGGAAUAAGUCUCGGCUAACUACGUGCCAGCAGCCGCGGUAAAACGUAGGAGGCGAACGUUAUCCGGAUUUACUGGGUGUAAAGCGCGUGCAGGCGGUGGUGUAAGUCGUGUGUGAAAGCGCUCAGGCUCAACCGGGCGAGGACGGACGAAACUGCAUCACUAGAGGUAGGUAGAGGCGUGCGGAAUUCCGGGUGUAGUGGUGAAAUGCGUAGAUAUCCGGAGGAACACCAGUGGCGAAGGCGGCGCGCUGGACCUAACCUGACGCUAAGACGCGAAAGCAUGGGUAGCGAACGGGAUUAGAAACCCUAGUAGUCC